GUGCAUACUUUCCUUUUUCACGAUCAUUGUUAUUUGACGUAUGCCCUGCCAUCAACAUACAUAAGUAUAACCACUCCCCAUAACUUGUCGUUUUAUUAACAAUUAAUCCCCCCGUUUUCCACAUAUAAUCAUAUCAUGAUCAAAAUAGCAUCAAAAAGCCUAGACUAAAUGGACAUGAUAAGAAUAGUAUUGGGUGACCUAGAUUUAAGCUUUUAAUUUUAAGACGUUCUAAAGUAGAAAGCUAAAAGCUUUAUGGUACAGUAUAGAUAUCAUAUUUGAUAUAGUAAACUACUUCCAAUAAUUCUUGAUGACAUUUAUUUGAUCACACAUGAUAUCUACCUUUAAACAAUGAAAACAGGCGAGACGAUGGCCUCAAAAGAUCAAGAUGUUUAUCGGAAACUGAUUUCACCAAUUCUACACCAUUUUUCAAAACCUUCCCUUCCUCCAUAGCAGCAUCUGUGAAACCAGAAAGUCUCAAUUUACAUAAAUUAUAUUAAAUUUAGGGCUUCCAGCUAAAAGAACCAAAUGGUUUCAAGUGUUCUAAAGAUUGAGGCUUACAAGUGGAGGUAUAUUCUCGAGUUGUGGUAGUGUCGAGGGUGAAGGCAUGUGAUAAUUAGAAUUUUUUUUGCUACUUUAGGGUGAUUAAUUGAGAGUACUAAUCAAAUUAAAAAGUUAACUAACAAGUAGUUAAUUCAUCAUAACAUAACAAUGAUAAGCGUAAAAGGAGUUAUUUACACAGCAUGAAGCAUAUAUUAUGCAAAGAAGAAAUUCAAAGGGAAACUAUUUGAUAACAUUGGUAAACUAAUGGUGUUUAAGGAUAAAGAUACUGAUGCCAUAAGGCUAAAGAAAAGUCAAGAGGAAUUACUCAGAUCCAUUUCACAGGUUUAAUGUCCUGCAGGGCUGCUCCCCAGCUACUAGUUACCACUUCUUCAAGCACGCACCUGUUUUUGUAUAUUCGAUUAGACUACUUCAAAUUCGGUCCAUAUGCGAUCAACUCUUAGCCAGUUCAUGUAAAAAAAUUGGUUCAUAAUCCCAAAAAUUAACCUAGCUAGCAUUACAUCAAAGUGAUAAAGUUGUAACACAAAAUAUUGUUUCAGUAAAAGAAUAUUCCGUUUAAAUCCUUCUGGAUCAGACGACAGAUACAAAAAAAACCACAGCUAAAUUUUAAAGAGUAUGUAUGUAUGUAUGUAUGUAAACCCUAAAAUAGUUUAUGAGCAAAUACUCUUUGUUCCUCAGUAAUUUAUAUUAGUUAAGGAUCCUGUGAGAAAUACUGUAAGCUCAAAAUUAAAGCAUAAUCACAGAUAACAAAGACGAUGAUCAGAAACAUUCG
rnacentral:lncRNA from 1 species